GAUGAACGCUGGCGGCGUGCUUAACACAUGCAAGUCGAACGGAAAGGCCCUAGCUUGCUGGGGUGCUCGAGUGGCAAACGGGUGAGUAACACGUGGGUGAUCUGCCCUGCACUUCCGGAUAAGCCUGGGAAACUGGGUCUAAUACCGGAUAGGACCACUUCUUGGAGGUUGUGGUGGAAAGUUUUUCGGUGUGGGAUGAGCUCCCGGCCUAUCAGCUUGUUGGUGGGGUAAUGGCCUACCAAGGCGUCCACGGGUAGCCGGCCUGAGAGGGUGUACGGCCACAUUGGGACUGAAAUACGGCCCAGACUCCUACAGGAGGCAGCAGAGGGGAAUAUUGCACAAUGGGCGCAAGCCUGAUGCAGCAACACCCCGUGGGGGAUGACCGCCUUCGGGUUGUAAACUCCUUUCGCCAAGGACGAAGCUUUAAGUGACUGAACUUGGAGAAGAAGCACCUGCUAACUACGUUCCCAGCAUUCGCGGUAAUAUCAAGGGUGCGAGCGUUCUCCGGAAUUACUGGACUUAAUAGAGUUAGUACGGGGUUUGACAACCCGUAAGAGGCACCCCGCUACUCAAGCUGCAGGAUUGCAGGCGAUACGGGCAUAACUUGAGUGCUGUAGGGGAGACUGGAAUUCCUGGCUGUAGCGGUGGAAUGCGCAGAUAUCAGGAGGAACACCGAUGGCGAAGGCAGGUCUCUGGGCAGUAACUGACGUUGAGGAGCGAAAGCAUGGGGAGCGAACAGGAUUAGAUACCCUGGUAGUCCAUGCCGUAAACGGUGGGCGCUAGGUGUGAGUCCCUUCCACGGGGUUCGUGCCGUAGCUAACGCAUUAAGCGCCCCGCCUGGGGAGUACGGCCGCAAGGCUAAAACUCAAAGGAAUUGACGGGGGCCCGCACAAGCGGCGGAGCAUGUGGAUUAAUUCGAUGCAACGCGAAGAACCUUACCUGGGCUUGACAUACACUGGAUCGCUGCAGAGAUGUAGUUUCCCUUUGUGGCUGGUGUACAGGUGGUGCAUGGUUGUCGUCAGCUCGUGUCGUGAGAUGUUGGGUUAAGUCCCGCAACGAGCGCAACCCUUGUCUUGUGUUGCCAGCAUUUGGUUGGGGACUCAUGAGAGACUGCCGGGGUUAACUCGGAGGAAGGUGGGGAUGACGUCAAAUCAUCAUGCCCCUUAUGUCCAGGGCUUCACACAUGCUACAAUGGUCGGUACAACGCGCGGCGAGCCUGUGAGGGUGAGCGAAUCGCUGAAAGCCGGUCGUAGUUCGGAUUGGGGUUUGCAACUCGACCCCAUGAAGUCGGAGUCGCUAGUAAUCGCAGAUCAGCAACGCUGCGGUGAAUAAGUUCCCGGGCCU
rnacentral:rRNA from 1 species